rnacentral:rRNA from 1 species
GACGAACCGUGCGAACGUUGUUCGGAUUCACUGGGCUUAAAGGGCGCGUAGGCGGGCGACCAAGUCAGGGGUGAAAUCUUUCGGCCCAACCGGAAAAGUACCCCUGAUACUGGCCGCCUCGAGGGGGGUAGGGGCAUGCGGAACUUCCGGUGGAGCGGUGAAAUGCGUAGAUAUCGGAAGGAACGCCGGUGGUGAAAGCGGCGUGCUGGACCCCUUCUGACGCUGAGGCGCGAAAGCCAGGGGAGCAAACGGG